rnacentral:tRNA from 1 species
GGGCGGGUAGCUCAGUGGUAGAGCAGCUGACUUUUAAUCAGCUGGCCGUGGGUUCGAUCCCCACCCCGCUCACCA